UACGAAGGAUGCAAGCGUUAUCCGGAUUUAUUGGGUUUAAAGGGUGCGUAGGCGGACUUAUAAGUCAGUGGUGAAAUCUCGUUGCUUAACAACGAAACGUGCCAUUGAUACUGUAGGUCUUGAGUACAGAUGCCGUUGGCGGAAUGUGUCAUGUAGCGGUGAAAUGCAUAGAUAUGACACAGAACACCGAUUGCGAAGGCAGCUGACGAAACUGUAACUGACGCGAGGCACGAAAGCGUGGGGGAUCAAAACAGG
rnacentral:rRNA from 1 species